UCCCGGUUAACCCGGGCAGUCUCGCUAGAGUGCCCAACAUGACUUGCUGGCAACUAACGAUAAGGGUUGCGCUCGUUGCGGGACUUAACCCAACACCUCACGGCACGAGCUGACGACAGCCAUGCAGCACCUGCACAGAGGCCCUUGCGGGAGUCUCUAUCUCUAGAGCGGUCCUCUGCAUGUCAAGCCUGGGUAAGGUUCUUCGCGUUGCAUCGAAUUAAACCACAUGCUCCACUGCUUGUGCGGGUCCCCGUCAAUUCUUUUGAGUUUCACCCUUGCGAGCGUACUCCUCAGGCGGUGCACUUAACACGUUAGCUACGGCACAGCUGGGGUUGAGACCAGCUACACCAAGUGCACAUCGUUUACGGCAAGGACUAC
rnacentral:misc_RNA from 1 species